rnacentral:rRNA from 1 species
CCUACGGGUGGCUGCAGUAGGGAAUCUUUGGCAAUGGACGAAAGUCUGACCGAGCAACGCCGCGUGAGUGAAGAAGGUUUUCGGAUCGUAAAACUCUGUUGGUAGCGAAGAACGUUGGUGAGAGUGGAAAGCACAUCAAGUGACGGUAACUACCCAGAAAGGGAGGGCUAACUACGUGCCAGGCGCCGCGGUAAUACGUAGGUCACGAGCGUUGUCCGGAUUUAUUGGGCGUGAAGCGAGCGCAGGUGGUUAAUUAAGGCUGGUGUAAAAGGCAGUGGCAAAACCAUUGUAUGCACGGGAAACUGGUAGACUUGAGUGCAGGAGAGGAGAGUGGAAUUUCAUGUGUAGCGGUGAAAUGCGUAGAUAUAUGGAGGAACACCGGUGGCGAAAGCGGCUCUCUGGCCCGGAACUGACACUGAGGCACGAAAGCGUGGGGAGCAAACAGGAUUAGAUACCCGUGUAGUC